rnacentral:rRNA from 1 species
UCCUACGGGGGGCAGCAGUGAGGAAUAUUGGUCAAUGGUCGGGAGACUGAACCAGCCAAGCCGCGUGAGGGAUGAAGGUACAGAGUAUCGUAAACCUCUUUUGUCAGGGAACAAAGGCGGGGACGUGUCCCCGGAUGAGUGUACCUGAAGAAAAAGCAUCGGCUAACUCCGUGCCAGCAGCCGCGGUAAUACGGAGGAUGCGAGCGUUAUCCGGAUUUAUUGGGUUUAAAGGGUGCGCAGGCGGUCUGUUAAGUCAGCGGUCAAAUCCCGGGGCUCAACCCCGGCCCGCCGUUGAAACUGUCAGU